GAUGAACGCUGGCGGCGUGCCUAAUACAUGCAAGUCGAGCGAACAGACGAGGAGCUUGCUCCUCUGACGUUAGCGGCGGACGGGUGAGUAACACGUGGAUAACCUACCUAUAAGACUGGGAUAACUUCGGGAAACCGGAGCUAAUACCGGAUAAUAUAUUGAACCGCAUGGUUCAAUAGUGAAAGACGGUUUUGCUGUCACUUAUAGAUGGAUCCGCGCCGCAUUAGCUAGUUGGUAAGGUAACGGCUUACCAAGGCAACGAUGCGUAGCCGACCUGAGAGGGUGAUCGGCCCCCCUUGAACUUAGACCCGGUCCAGACUCCUACGGGAGGCAGCCGUAGGGAAUCUUCCGCAAUGGGCGAAAGCCUGACGGAGCAACGCCGCGUGAGUGAUGAAGGUCUUCGGAUCGUAAAACUCUGUUAUUAGGGAAGAACAAAUGUGUAAGUAACUAUGCACGUCUUGACGGUACCUAAUCAGAAAGCCACGGCUAACUACGUG
rnacentral:rRNA from 1 species